rnacentral:rRNA from 1 species
UACGGAGGGAGCUAGCGUUGUUCGGAAUUACUGGGCGUAAAGCGCACGUAGGCGGCUUUGUAAGUUAGAGGUGAAAGCCCGGAGCUCAACUCCGGAAUUGCCUUUAAGACUGCAUCGCUUGAAUCCGGGAGAGGUGAGUGGAAUUCCGAGUGUAGAGGUGAAAUUCGUAGAUAUUCGGAAGAACACCAGUGGCGAAGGCGGCAUCCUGGACCGGGAUUGACACUGAGGAGCGAAAGCUAGGGGAGCAAACGGG